GCUUCCUUGGGCUCAGUUGGUAUAGCGUUGGUCUCAUAAUCCAAAGGUCGCCAGUUCGAGCCUGGCAAGGAGCA
rnacentral:tRNA from 1 species